CAAGGAUUCCCCUAGUAACGGCGAGUGAAGCGGGAAGAGCUCAAAUUUGUAAUCUGGCGGCUUCCGAGCCGUCCGAGUUGUAGUCUGGAGAAGCGUUUUCCGUGCCGGACCGUGUACAAGUCCCUUGGAACGGGGCGUCGUAGAGGGUGAGAAUCCCGUCUCUGACACGGACUGCCGGCGCUCUGUGAAGCGCUCUCGAAGAGUCGAGUUGUUUGGGAAUGCAGCUCAAAAUGGGUGGUAAAUUCCAUCUAAAGCUAAAUACGGGCGAAAGACCGAUAGCGAACAAGUACCGUGAGGGAAAGAUGAAAAGCACUUUGGAAAGAGAGUUAAACAGUACGUGAAAUUGUUGAAAGGGAAACGCUUGAAGUCAGUCGCGUCUUCCGAGACUCAACCCGGUUCUCGCCGGGUGCACUUCUCGGUGUGACGGGCCAGCAUCGAUUUCGACCGUCGGAGAAAGGCCGGGGAAAAGUGGCACCUUCGGGUGUGUUAUAGUCCCCUGUCGUAUGCGAGGGUCGGGAUCGAGGACCGCAGCGCGCCCUUCACCGGGCCGGGGUUCGCCCACGUAACGCGCUUAGGAUGCUGGCGUAAUGGCUUUAAGCGACCCGUCUU
rnacentral:rRNA from 1 species